rnacentral:rRNA from 1 species
UACGUAGGGGGCUAGCGUUGUCCGGAUUUAUUGGGCGUAAAGAGCGUGUAGGCGGCCAGGUAGGUCUGGUGUGAAAACUCGAGGCUUAACCUUGAGAUGUCAUCGGAAACCAUUUGGCUAGAGUCCGGAAGAGGAGAGUGGAAUUCCUGGUGUAGCGGUGAAAUGCGCAGAUAUCAGGAAGAACACCAAUGGCGAAAGCAGCUUUCUGGGACGGUACUGACGCUGAGACGCGAAAGCGUGGGGAGCGAACAGG